GAAAGUUGCUAUAAUGGUUUUGCCAUAAUAAUAUCAUUUAAUAGUAUUUUUAAAACUCUGAUCAAUGUAAUAAAACAUACCAAGGAAAGAAAAGCUAUAUAGAAUGAAAAAAGAGAUACAACAUUAUGUAUUGAAAAAAUAUUUUUAUAGUUUAAAAACCCAAAGUAGUCAAUGAAAACCUAAAUAAAAAUAAUUGGUAAAAUAUUAAAACAUAUAAACAUUAACAUAAAUCAGCAGUAUAAAUGUAAGCAAUCAUUAACUCAAACAUAAACUUUUAAAAGAGAGAACUAUAAAAAACAAAUUCACAGACUGGUUUCAAGUGUGAACGAUAACAUUUUUAUAUUGUUAUUUCCCAAGUUUAAUGGAAAUGUAAUAACAAUCUCCCUUUCAUUUUUUACUUUUUGAGGUAGUGGUGAGAGGAAUUUGAUUUUAGUGUAAAUCUAGAAGAAAAAGUAGUCAAGAAUAGCAAAGUUCAAUUUUUAGAAAGAAGGAGUGACUAGUCUUAUCAAAUAUUAAAAUAUAUAAUAAAGUUAUAAUAAUUAAAACUAUACUGGCACCAAAAUAAAUAUAUUAAUGAGGCAAAACAUGUGGGCAAAUAAAUUAUAUAUAAAAAUGAAAUAUUUGAUAAUGGCUGGACCACAGAUUAAAGGAGAGGGAAAAUGUUUUGCAAUAUAUGGGCUAAUGGAAAAAAAAAAUCAGCUUUUACACUCAUUAUGUACAUAAAAUACAUUAUGCAAACUAAAACCUUAGGAAGUCUAACGAGACUUUAUUUUAUAGGCUUAAAACAUUGUAACAAAAUUGCAAAGUGAACAGUAAAAUAGAUUUGAUUAUAUUAAACACUUGAUUAGUUAAAACAACAAUGUAACAAGCAAAGGGUGGCCUAUGUGCAAUUGCAAUUAUUUGAACAUAAUAACAAAGAGUUGAUAUGAUUUCACAAGAGCUCAUACAAACUCAUACUUAAUCAAUAUAUGAGAUAAGAAUGAAAUCACAUUUCAUAAAAUAUGAAAUAUAACACAUUUGCAAGCACAUAAAAAUCCAGCCUUAAUAACAAUCAAAUGAAUAUACACUAAAACAAAAAAAAAUGAGUUAUGUUUAGGUUUAAUCAACUAUUUAAAAUUGAUGUCAAGGACUUACACUUUCAGCUGUUACAUUUAGAUCAGCUCAUCCUAUAAGGACAAGUAGAACAAAUAGAAAAGUUGAAUAAAAUCUACCAAACGUUUGUUUAAAAGCACUGGAGAGCUCCACAGUGGAGAGAGCUUGAGAGCAGAGAAUUUAAGAAAGAUCCUAACUGCCUGUCAGAAACUAAAGUAAAACAUCACUUAAAGAAGAGAUGAUCUUCCAGAGGUCUAAAUUAUCUCUACAAUUUUUCAUACACAAUGUCUGGCAUUCAAUAAAAUUACCAGGCAUACCAGAAGACAAGAUAAAAUGACUGAAAACAGAGCUAGAGGAGAUCCAGAUAUAGGAGUAACAAAUUUUAAAAUAUCUAUGCUAUCUUUUAAAAAUUAUAUGAGUAGAUAGAAAAUUUCAACAGACUACUAUUAACUGUGAUAAAGAAUCAAAUGGAAAUUCCAGAACUGAAAAAUUAACUGAAAUUAAAAACUCAAUAGUUGGAUAUAAGAGCAGAUUAGAAAUUCUUGAAGAACAAACUUAUGAGCAAUAGAAAUUUUGAUGUUAAUACCUAACAAAGUCAGAAAAGGUGUAUUGGAAAAUGGUUUCUCUCAUGUAACUGGUGACAUGUAAACCUAUAUACCACUUUUUGGAAAUACUUUGAUAAUGUGAAUUCACUAUUUGAACAAAAAAAUUUAUAUCUUUUAACCCAGUAAUCUUAUCUCUGGGAAUGUGCCAUAGGAAAUAAGUUUUUAAAUCCACAGUGCCUCAUGUAUGAAGAUAUUCACUACAGACUUAUGAUAGUAAUAACUAUCUACAGACAAUGUUUAAAUACUUUAUUUCAAUUAAUGCAGGUUAAUCCUCACAACAAUCUAUGGUGCUAGUGAACAUUACUAUCCUCAUUGUACAGAUGAGAAAACUGAAACAUUGAGAAGUCAAGUAACUUGCUCAAGAUUAUAUAGCUAGUGCAUAGAGGGGCAAAGAUUUGAACCAGAUUGCCUGGUUCCACAUGCACUUUAACCUGCUUUAUUUAGGCUUUUGAAAGCAACCUAAAUAGCUAACAUUGACUAAAUAAGUGCAGUAUACCUGGUCUGUGUGACAUUUUGCAGGUAUUAAAAAGUGAACAUUCUGAACCCUUUUAGCAAUAUGGCAAAUACUUCUGAUGUGAUGUAUGCAUAUAAAUAUGAUCGAAAGCAAAUAUCCCAAAAGGUUGAUGGCAGUUAUGUCAGGUUAGUAGCACAAUAGUUUCUUUUCUCAUUUUCUCACAUUUUUAGUAAUGUGUGUUGCCUAUAUUAAAAAACAAAUAUUAAAAAGUAGUAGCAUGUAUUAGAUCAGAGCAUGGGCUCAGACUGCCUGUGUCAUCUCUUAUUAGAUGUAUGACCAGGGACAAGUUAUUGACCUUUUGUUUCUAAGUCUCUAAGUUUAUCCUGUAAAAUGAAGAUAAUUGUAGUAACUACCUAAUAACAUGAUUGUAAGGAUUAAAUUAUUUAGAACACUAUUUGUUACUUGGAAAAUAUGCAAUCAUAAGCUAUUUUGUUGUUAUUGUUAUUUUACUACCAAAGCUUAUUGUUUCAGAGCCCCUAGGUGACCAGGCAAAAUGGCAGUUCCUUCCAGCUGGUCCUCAGAUGGGCACAUCUAUUAGCCUCUGCUCUUGUAAGAAGUUAGCUGCAGAACCCACAUGUGAAUCCUUGUAGGACUCUGGAGAAGAUCAAAUGGGAGCUUAGAUGUGGAAGCUCUUUGGAAACCAAGAAACACUCUGAAAAUGAAAAGGGUGGAAGAGUAAACUGUUCCUGUUUCUCCAUCUUGACAGGAAGCAGAAGUUCUCCUUAGCUGAUUUUUCUUCUUGCCUUAUACUGGGUUCUUUAACACCAGAACAAAAAUAAAUAAAUAAAAGAAUCUUCCAGAAAUUCAUGAAGAGACUUCAGGUCAGGAAAGCCUGAACUUUCUCAUCCAACACCCGUUCAAGUCGGAGGAUGCUGAUUAAUUCAUGAUGGAAAGGUAUCAAUUUCACAGCCCAGACCUCUACAUUCUUGAAAUGCUCUUCUCAUGGGAGACAUUAAAUAAGCUUUGAAUUAACUGAGACCUCUGUGGAUUCUAUAACUCAAAGACCCAGGCUGACGGCUGGUGGAAUAGCUACCAUCUCAAACAUGGCGUGAUGCUGCAUCAGAGAGAAAAAUAAGCUCUUGCAUUGACAAUGAAAUGUCUACCCUGUAGUGACUUGUGCUUACUUCCACUCACAAGUGAUUGCCCAGAGCUACUUACCUGGCUCCAAUCUACCACUGGGUGUGUACUUGCAAUCUACCAUGUACCUAGAAGAUGAGAGAAACAAAUUAUUAAUGAUGACCACACCCCAAUACUAACAACAAUUGCAGAAGAAUCAAUGACUUAAACAAAAAUGUGGCCAUUGAAGGAAUAGAAAAUAUAGUGAGUUUAGUGUAAAUUUAAAAGUGAUUUAUAAGUAACAUACAAAAUCCAGAAACUAUAAGAAAACAGAUUCACAAAUAUAAAUAUAUAAAGCUUUAAAAAAGUUUAAUGUAACAAAAAUGGCAUAAAAGGAGUCAAAAGUUUUUAAAAAAUAUGUUAAUGCAGUAGAUUAGGUGCUAAUUUUCUUAAUAUACUAAUAACUCAAUAAGAGAAAUUUUGUAUCUAGAAGAAAAUGAACAUGGAAAUAGGCAAUUCACAGAUAAUGGCAUUCAUCUGGCGAAUAAAAAAAUGUGUGACAUUCAGAAUAAAAUAAAAAUGAAAUACUGGUUUUCAGCCAUCACUUGAGCAAAACUGCAAAGAUACAAUGAGACUCAGGCAUUCCCAUAUACUGUGGAUGGGAGGGCAAAGACCUUCAACCUCUAAUUUUAUUUCUAUUUUUAAACAUGUAUGUUAAAAUUUUAAAUGCUAAUGUCCUCUUGACCCAAUAAUCUUAUGUCUAAGAUUUGAAUCUGGAGAUAAACUUGAACAAAUGCAUCUAGAUUUAUGUAUAAGUAUUAAUAUAGUUUAGAUGUGUGUUCCCACCCAAAUCUCAUAUUGAAAUGUAAUCCCCAGUGUUGGAGGUGGGUCCUGGUGUGAGGUGAUUGGAUUAUGGGGGUGAAUUUCUCAGGAAUGGUUUAACAUCAUCCCCUACGGCCCUGUCCUUGCAUAGUGAGGUGAGUUCUUCUGAGAUCUGGUCAUUUAAAGUGUGCAGCACCUCCCCGCCUCACUCUCUCUUGCUCCUGCUUUUGCUAUGUGAUGUGUGAGCUACUGCUGUGCCUUACACCAUGAUUUGAAGCUCCCUGAGGCCUCCCCAGAAGGAGAUGCUGCCAUGCUUCCUGUACAGCCUGCAGAAUUGUGAGGCAAUUAAACCUCGUUUCUUUAUAAAUUACCCAGUCUCACGUAUUUCUUUAUGGCAAUGCAAUAAUAGACUAAUACUAAUAUGUUCAGUGAAACAUUAUUUGUCAUUAUAACACCCCCAUCCACCAAUGUCCAUAGAUAGGAGAUUAGCUGAAUGAUUUAUAGUACAUACUUAUAACGAAGUAUUAUACAGCCAUUGAAAAGCCUGAAAUAGACUUUUGUGGGCUGAAACAAAAAGCCUAGGAUAGAAUAUUGAUGAAAAAUGAAAUACAAAAAGCAAUCUAUAGUGUGAUUCCACUCGUGUGUGUGUCUUGCAGAUGCAUAGACAAUUUGUGAGCGAAUACGAGAAUGUUAAGAGUGGCAGCCUUUGGGGAGGGCUAAUAGUUCAGGGAGAUAGAGCAGGGCUGUAGAGGAUGUCAAUUAUUUUUUGGCGAUGCUCACUCACCAUUCCUUGUCUUUAUAAAAAAAACCCUUCUCACUCACAUACAUGCUUUGAAGAAGGUGCUUCAUUACUUCAACUCCAGAGAUGCAAGAUGAGACCCAAGCCUGGUAAAAGAGCCUACCCAAUUUCACUACCCACAUUGACUCAUCAAGGGUGUUAUGAGUUGAAAGUUGGUCAAACCUGAGAGAGUUUUGGGACUUGUAUGUGAGCCCCUGGGACUAUAGAAAACUCUUUUCUUCUGAGUGUGAGUCUGGAGGAUGUAUGCUUGAACUACUCCAGCCUAUGAAUGUUAUGAAAGAGGAAACAAAACAAUGAGGAAGAAGCAUAGCGGAUAUGUCCAGAACAGAUCAUUGGACAUUUCAGUUAAAUAAACAACAAUAAACAAACAAACAAACAAACAAACAAGCAAUUUUUCCCCUUAGGGAACUUUGAAUUAGGACCUAUCUAGAUGAGUUCUUUUCCUUUAUUUUAAUAUUAUGUUCAGUUUGAAUAAAUAUAUGUAGUUUUGUAGUAAAAAGCAUUUUGUAAAUAAGAAGGUUCUAUCCACUUUGUAAUCACACUUUUAAAAAGAUGCACAAUAGAAAGCUUGGAUAUA
rnacentral:lncRNA from 1 species